rnacentral:misc_RNA from 1 species
AUUGCACUCUCUUUUUUCUACUAUUCACGAAGGGGACAUCUGAGGCGGACAGAGAGAGAUGUUGGACAUCAAUUUGUUCAGGGAAGAGAAGGGAAACAAUCCUGAAAUCAUCCGUGAGUCUCAACGCCGCCGAUUUGCUGACGUUGGACUCGUUGAUGAAGUCAUUAAGCUUGACAAGGAAUGGCGUCAACGCCAGUUUGAACUUGAGAAUCUCAGGAAGGAGUUCAACA